AUUGAACGCUGGCGGCAGGCUUAACACAUGCAAGUCGAGCGGAGACUUCGGUCUUAGCGGCGAACGGGUGAGGAAUGCCUGGGAAUCUGCCUGUUAGUGGGGGAUAACGUUCCGAAAGGAACGCUAAUACCGCAUACGUCCUACGGGAGAAAGCAGGGGACCUUCGGGCCUUGCGCUAACAGAUGAGCCCAGGUCGGAUUAGCUAGUUGGUGGGGUAAAGGCUCACCAAGGCGACGAUCCGUAGCUGGUCUGAGAGGAUGAUCAGCCACACUGGAACUGAGACACGGUCCAGACUCCUACGGGAGGCAGCAGUGGGGAAUAUUGGACAAUGGGCGAAAGCCUGAUCCAGCCAUGCCGCGUGUGUGAAGAAGGCCUUCGGUUGUAAAGCACUUUAAGACGGGGAGGGAAGGUACGUUAGGGGUCGUAAUACCCCUCGAGUGUUGACGUUA
rnacentral:rRNA from 1 species